rnacentral:rRNA from 1 species
GACGAACGCUGGCGGCGUGCCUAAUACAUGCAAGUCGAACGCAGUGGGGACGGGUGAGUAACACGUGGGUAACCUCCCAUCAGAGGGGAUAACACUUGGAAACAGGUGCUAAACAGAUCAUGAUGGAUGGACCCGCGGGGCAUUAGCUAGUUGGUGAGGUAACGGCUCACCAAGGACACGAUUCAUAGCCUAUCAUAGAGGGUGAUCGGCCACAAGGUGCCUGAGACACGGCCCAGACUCCUACGGGAGGCAGCAGUAGGGAAUCUUCGGCAAUGGACUAAAGUCUGACCGAGCAACGCCGCGUGAGUGAAGAAGGUUUUCGGAUCGUAAACCUCUGUUGUUAGAGAAGCUGUAUCUAACCAGAAAGCCCCGGCUAACGACGUGCCAGCAGCCGCGGUAAUAC